rnacentral:tRNA from 1 species
UAACUUUUAGUGUAAAAGCACGAAAAAUUUUGAUUUUUUAGGAAAUAAGUUUAAUUAUUAAAGUUAA